UACCCUGGUAGUCCACGCCGUAAACGAUGUCGACUUGGAGGCUGUUCCCUUGAGGAGUGGCUUCCGGAGCUAACGCGUUAAGUCGACCGCCUGGGGAGUACGGCCGCAAGGUUAAAACUCAAAUGAAUUGACGGGGGCCCGCACAAGCGGUGGAGCAUGUGGUUUAAUUCGAUGCAACGCGAAGAACCUUACCUGGCCUUGACAUCCAGAGAACUUUCCAGAGAUGGAUUGGUGCCUUCGGGAACUCUGAGACAGGUGCUGCAUGGCUGUCGUCAGCUCGUGUUGUGAAAUGUUGGGUUAAGUCCCGCAACGAGCGCAACCCUUAUCCUUUGUUGCCAGCGAUUCGGUCGGGAACUCAAAGGAGACUGCCGGUGAUAAACCGGAGGAAGGUGGGGAUGACGUCAAGUCAUCAUGGCCCUUACGGCCAGGGCUACACACGUGCUACAAUGGCGCAUACAAAGAGAAGCGACCUCGCGAGAGCAAGCGGACCUCAUAAAGUGCGUCGUAGUCCGGAUCGGAGUCUGCAACUCGACUCCGUGAAGUCGGAAUCGCUAGUAAUCGUGGAUCAGAACGCCACGGUGAAUACGUUCCCGGGCCUUGUACACACCGCCCGUCACACCAUGGGAGUGGGUUGCAAAAGAAGUAGGUAGCUUAACCUUCGGGAGGGCGCUUACCACUUUGUGAUUCAUGACUGGGGUGAAGUCGUAACAAGGUAUC
rnacentral:rRNA from 1 species